rnacentral:rRNA from 1 species
AGAGUUUGAUCAUGGCUCAGAACGAACGCUGGCGGCAGGCCUAAAACAUGCAAGUCGAGCGCCCAGCAAUGGGAGCGGCGGACGGGUGAGUAACACGUGGGAAUGUACCUUUCGGUACGGAACAACUCAGGGAAACUUGAGCUAAUGCCGUAUACGCCCUUACGGGGAAAGAUUUAUCGCCGAAAGAUCAGCCCGCGUUGGAUUAGCUUGUUGGUGAGGUAAUGGCUCACCAAGGCGACGAUCCAUAGCUGGUUUGAGAGAACGACCAGCCACACUGGGACUGAGACACGGCCCAGACUCCUACGGGAGGCAGCAGUUGGGAAUCUUGGACAAUGGGGGAAACCCUGAUCCAGCCAUGCCGCGUGAGUGAUGAAGGCCUUCGGGUUGUAAAACUCUUUCGACGGGGACGAUAAUGACGGUACCCGUAGAAGAAGCUCCGGCUAACUUCGUGCCAGCAGCCGCGGUAAUACGAAGGGGGCUAGCGUUGUUCGGAAUUACUGGGCGUAAAGCGCGCGCAGGCGGUCCUCCAAGUCAGUGGUGAAAGCCCGGAGCUCAACUUCGGAAUUGCCAUUGAAACUGUUGGACUUGAGUACGAGAGAGGUGAGUGGAAUUCCCAGUGUAGAGGUGAAAUUCGUAGAUAUUGGGAAGAACACCGGUGGCGAAGGCGGCUCACUGGCUCGUAACUGACGCUCAAGCGCGACAGCGUGGGGAUCAAGCAGGAUUAGAUACCCUAGUAGUCC